rnacentral:rRNA from 1 species
UACGAAGGGGGCUAGCGUUGUUCGGAAUUACGGGGCGUAAAACGCACGUAGGCGGAUUUGUUAGUCAGGGGUGAAAUCCCGGGGCUCAACCUCGGAACUGCCUUUGAUACUGCAAGUCUAGAGUCCGGAAGAGGUGAGUGGAAUUCCUAGUGUAGAGGUGAAAUUCGUAGAUAUUAGGAAGAACACCAGUGGCGAAGGCGGCUCACUGGUCCGGUACUGACGCUGAGGUGCGAAAGCGUUGGGAGCAAACAGG